rnacentral:hammerhead_ribozyme from 1 species
GUACUGCUGAAGAGUCCCAGACUAGGAUGAGGCAUAUGUCUAGUAC